UUUCUUAAUAUACAUUUUUUACUUUAAAAUUUUUUAAUAUUUAUUUUUAGGACUCAAAUUAGCAAGACCUUAAAAAGAAGUAUCACUUUUAUUAUAUAAUUUGUAUCCACGUUAGCAAUUUUAUAAUAAUACUCAAAAAAAGAAAAUAAUGAAUCUAUUGAUUAGAGAAUAAGUUAAGGUUGAUGUCAUAGAUUUAGGGGAAAAA
rnacentral:lncRNA from 1 species